ensembl:snRNA Rnu6-395 RNA, U6 small nuclear 395
GUGCUCACUUUGGGAGAAUAUAUUCUAAAUUUGGAACAGUGCAGAGAUUAGCCUGGCCCCUGUAGAAGGAAGACUUGCAAAUUCCUGGAGUGUUCCAUAAACAC